rnacentral:rRNA from 1 species
AGAGUUUGAUCCUGGCUCAGAAUGAACGCUGGCGGCGUGCCUAACACAUGCAAGUCGGAUGUGCCGCAAGGUGCAUGGCAGACGGGUGAGUAACGCGUAGGGAAUCUACCUCUUUGUGGGGAAUAACGCUCCGAAAGGAGUGGUAAUACCGCAUGAGACCGAGUGCUGGGAUGCAUUCGGUGAAACCUGGGGACCGCAAGGCCUGGGGCAAGGAGAGGAUCCUGCGUCUGAUUAGCUAGUUGGCGGGGUAAUGGCCCACCAAGGCGACGAUCAGUAGCCGGCCUGAGAGGGUGAUCGGCCACACUGGAACUGAGACACGGUCCAGACUCCUACGGGAGGCAGCAGUGGGGAAUUUUGCGCAAUGGACGAAAGUCUGACGCAGCAACGCCGCGUGGGUGAUGAAGGUCUUCGG